rnacentral:tRNA from 1 species
GGAGAGAUGUCCGAGAGGCUUAAGGAGCACGACUGGAAAUCGUGUGGGUGGUUAGAAGCCGCCUCGAGGGUUCGAAUCCCUCUCUCUCCGCCA